rnacentral:rRNA from 1 species
GGGGGGUGAAUCUUUGCGGCAAUAGGACGCAAGCCUGAUCCAGCCAUGCCGCGUGUGUGAAGAAGGUCUUCGGAUUGUAAAACUCUUUUGUUUGGGAGGAAGGGUACCCGCUAAUACCUGGCUGGUUGACGUUACCCACCGAAUAGCCACCGGCUAACUUCGCCCCCCCCGCGGUUUUAA